CCUCACUUGUGGGGGGAUUAGUGGCGAACGGGUGAGUAACACGUGAGUAACCUGCCCUUAACUCUGGGAUAAGCCUGGGAAACUGGGUCUAAUACCGGAUAUGACUCCUCAUCGCAUGGUGGGGGGUGGAAAGCUUUUUGUGGUUUUGGAUGGACUCGCGGCCUAUCAGCUUGUUGGUGAGGUAAUGGCUCACCAAGGCGACGACGGGUAGCCGGCCUGAGAGGGUGACCGGCCACACUGGGACUGAGACACGGCCCAGACUCCUACGGGAGGCAGCAGUGGGGAAUAUUGCACAAUGGGCGCAAGCCUGAUGCAGCGACGCCGCGUGAGGGAUGACGGCCUUCGGGUUGUAAACCUCUUUCAGUAGGGAAGAAGCGAAAGUGACGGUACCUGCAGAAGAAGCGCCGGCUAACUACGUGCCAGCAGCCGCGGUAAUACGUAGGGCGCAAGCGUUAUCCGGAAUUAUUGGGCGUAAAGAGCUCGUAGGCGGUUUGUCGCGUCUGCCGUGAAAGUCCGGGGCUCAACUCCGGAUCUGCGGUGGGUACGGGCAGACUAGAGUGAUGUAGGGGAGACUGGAAUUCCUGGUGUAGCGGUGAAAUGCGCAGAUAUCAGGAGGAACACCGAUGGCGAAGGCAGGUCUCUGGGCAUUAACUGACGCUGAGGAGCGAAAGCAUGGGGAGCGAACAGGAUUAGAUACCCUGGUAGUCCAUGCCGUAAAC
rnacentral:rRNA from 1 species